CCAAACGGUCUCCCUCAUAGAGAAAAUUAUUUGUGCAAAGAUAGAAUUCCUGGAAAAUUCGUCCUCCCAAACUUGUACCAUUUGCUUGCCAAAGUCAAUUUUCAAAGGCUACUCAAAUCUUCUUGUCAGAAGAUGUAUCUAACUCUUGAUGAAUACCUUCGGUAAAUUUCUUGCUUAUGGUCACCUUGAUUUUAUUGGCAAUCUAAAAGGUCAGUCGGUCAGGUAUGCCUAUAUGAUCAUUCAAAAUUCUGAGAAUUCUUUGCUUAUGUUGUGGUUACUCAUUUAUAAUAAUAUGGAGGGGAAUUUUCUUUGUCUAGCCCUAAUACAGAUUAAAUUUAUCCUUUUUUCUUAAAACACAUUUUUUUUGUUUUGUAUAUGACUAUAAUUUCUUACCCAAUAGUUGUUAGGGGUUUUGCCUUGAUUUUCUUACCAAAUUUGAGUUUUACUUUUCUCUUGAAGGAAAGUCAAAGUAUUACCAUAAUUGCUUUUACUUUUCUUGAAAUGAAAAUAUAUUUCUCUUCCAUAUUUGGCUAAUUCUUGUCUUGGAGGAAAAGUUUUGUACAUCUAUAAAUUGAAGACAUCUUUCCUACAACUAGAACACAAUAGCAUCCACAAUGUACUCGUUUAGACAGUCUUAUUUAUGGGGAGAUUAUUCUCUCCACAGUUUUAUAUCUUUCUUUAUAUUAGUUUUCGAUAUGUAGGUCAAUUGACCAAAUCAUAUUAUAAUAUUAUGCUUUUUAGUAUAUUU